GCUAUAUAAUAGGUUUGCAGAGACAUAACCACUCAGUGCUGAGAGGACCUCUUUCUAUCACCCUUGACUGAUGGCA
rnacentral:snoRNA from 1 species